CGGCGCCCAGCCUCCUUCUUUCGUUUCUAGAGUCUAUGCAGAGACACUUUUGGGGAACGGUUUCUGUGAAGUUGGCGUGGAGGGGCUGCGUUUUCGGCCUCGAGAAGACUUCGACUCACGGUUUGGGUAUUGCGGUCACAGGCUGCCACGCCAUCCGGAUCUGCUUUGCUGAUGUUCGCGACGGUUGUCGACGGCUGUCUGGCUCCAUCUGGCGGCUGCUUUUAUAUAGUUCUCUUGGCUUCCGGAGCUCCAGUGGCAGCUGCCAAGGGAAAAAAACCAUCCUGCUGUGACUUAGGCAUAGCUCCAGAAAGCCUGUGGCCAUCAACGGGGCUGUCCCAGUCUCGCCAGAGCUCUAGCACCGCCAUCUGGGAGUCAGAGCUUGAGCAUGCAGGGCUUUGUGUGGGGAGGCUGUAGCCGUGCCUCCAUGCCCAAGGGUAGUGUGGGGCUACCCUGGCUGGUCGACCAGAGUGCCGCAACUCCCAAAGCCCAAGCCGAGACCCAUGGCGACCUAUUGGGCAUGGUGUGGGUGGCCACGGACGCCAAUCCCAGCCCAGUUGCAAGCCCAUGCUGGUCCUGGCAGUCUAAGGCAUCUGGCGAAUUAUUUUCCAGGUCCCCGCGGGGAGUUGGGGACCAUCCUGCACUGUCCUCUGGUUACUGAGGAGCAGUCCCCUGGCCCGGCCCCAGUC
rnacentral:lncRNA from 1 species